rnacentral:piRNA from 1 species
UAGCUGAAUUGGCGAACCCAACAUCAGC